rnacentral:lncRNA from 1 species
GGUCCCCAUCUGCAACUCGGAACUAAAACUCCGUCCGCAGCCUGCCUCUUGGGUGCUGGGAGAGGCCCGGGAAAUCGGGGGGGGGGGGGGNNNNNNNNNNNNNNNNNNNNGGGGGGGGGGGGGGGGGGGGGGGGGGGGGGGCUCGGGGAGGCAGCCGCAGAGCAUCCUGGGACCAUGGGCAGGGCAGCAGGAGGCCGGGGCUGUCCCGGCCUGAGCCCAGGGCUGAGGCAGCAGCAGGGGGGCGCUCACAGGGAGGGCAAGCCCGGGCGGGAGGCGGGGACACGGGCCACCCAGCUUUGUAAUCCGAGGAUAGGGCGCCCCAGGAACCUGUGAUGUACUCCAGGAUUCUCGGGGGGGGGGGAGCCCCCUCAGACUGACGGCCCUAAGACAUUAUUAUCAGAAGGCCUCCUUCUCCCUGGUUCCCGGGCACCCACCGCGCUGGCUGGGCUGGGGAUGGAAGGACGCCCUCCUGGAGCUCACAGCCAGGACCCUGGGUGGGGAAAUCACUAGUCUGUGCUGCCAUGGGGGUUGCCGCCGCAGCGGGGUUUCCAGGAAGGGCCACCAGAAGAGAGGAAGCCCCAGCCGAGGAGCUGACCCUGAGGCCGGCAGGAAAAGAUGGGAAGGGCGUUCCAGGCAGGAGGAACAGCGUGUGCUAGGGCCCGAGAUAGGGCAGAACCCGGGAACCACGGUUAUUCUGUAUGGCCCAGGGGCGAGUGGGAGCGUGGCAAUGGGUGGCGGAGGCAGGGCCUUGAAUGCCGAGGACAACCCCCGCGUCGCCCCUUUUUGGGGGCUCUCGGGGCCUCGGCGCCCCCUCUCCCGCCUCCUCCCGCCCCCCCUCCAGGGCGGGUCCGGGGAAGGCUGGGCGGCCCGCGGCUGCCCUUUCAAGUCGGCCUCCCGGAGGCUCCCGAGCCGGCGGCUUGGGGCCGCUCGCCGACAUCAAAGCCCGCCGCCGGGGCCUGAGCCGGCUGCGGAAGGGCGGGCGAACCGGCCGGGAGGCAGCUUUCGGCGGACGCCCCUUUCAUCCCGGCUCGGCGGCGCAGACCCCCGGGAGGCCCCGCGUCCCCGCUGGGCGCGUCCCUGCAGGCCCGGCGGCCGCGGGGCAGGGGCUGCGGGGCCACCAGGCGGCGCCGCUGGGGACGCGGCCGGGCUGUGCGGCCUCAGGCCGGGCCGGCCCUUCUCUGUGCCUCGCUGACCUCCUCCCUGCCCAGGAAGCCUUCUCGUGGAGGGGAGUCCUUCUCGGGGAGAGGGGGGUCGUUCUCGAGGAAGGCCACACCCGGUCCCACAUGGGCAUCACAGUGCCCUAUGUGGUCCAUUAA